UACGGGGGGGGCGAGCGUUGUUCGGAAUUACUGGGCGUAAAGGGUGCGUAGGCGGCUUUCUAAGUCGGAUGUGAAAUCCCUCGGCUUAACCGGGGAACUGCGUCUGAUACUGGAUGGCUUGAGUUUGGGAGAGGGAUGCGGAAUUCCAGGUGUAGCGGUGAAAUGCGUAGAUAUCUGGAGGAACACCGGUGGCGAAGGCGGCAUCCUGGACCAACACUGACGCUGAGUGAGCGAAAGCCAGGGGAGCAAACAGG
rnacentral:rRNA from 1 species